GCCUUCGUGGUGUAGUGGUCAGCACGCUUGACAAGUAGCCGAGAAGUUCGUGGUUCGAUUCCCGGCGAAGGCU
rnacentral:tRNA from 1 species